UACAUAUGCCAUCCACCCUCGACAUAUGCUGCCGCCUUCUACUCUAACCCUCAACAUCCGACUCCGCCUUUCGUCGGCCUGAUUUUGAGUGAUCAAAUAGGCCACCGCCUCCUCCAAGGAACUAUUCAGGUAUUUUUUGCUGUGGUUUGUUGCCAGAGUAUUGAGAUCGAUGAAAGGAAUGAGGUGAUUUGAGGAGCUAUUUAGAGAUGGAGAUGACAAAUAAGAUUGAAAGAUUUUGUCAUGUUGAAAUUUUAAUGCAUCACCUUGGUUAGCCAUCUAUUGAGCAUGUGUUAACUCAUUUGAAUGAGGUGAUUUGAGGAGCUAUUUAGAGAUGGAGAUGACAAAUAAGAUUGAAAGAUUUUGUCAUGUUGAAAUUUUAAUGCAUCACCUUGGUUAGCCAUCUAUUGAGCAUGUGUUAACUCAUUUGUAAGUUUCCUUUUUUGGAUUAUGUAUUAUUUAUACUGAUGAAUUAUAUGGUAAUUGAAAUGUAAAACAAUAUAUAAAGUAUGAUAUUUAUUCAUUUUUCUAAAUAAAUUCUCUGUAAUUAGUUUAAUUUAUAAAAAUGUUAUAUGUUUAAGAAACAACAUAUAAAAUUGCGUUUCACGUAAUUAGACUUUCUUGAUGCAAAGUGCCAAGUCCUUCUUGAUGUAAGUUUCAUAGCAGCAGCUAAAUGAACCAUCUUGUGAAUCUAGGCAUGAACAUCCAUACUAUUUUUGGUUCUUGAAAAGUACUAAGGGAAAAAAUAUUAAGAAAAAUGAUUCUUUCAUGUUUGAUUUACCAUGUUAAAUACAAAAGAAAAUCAAAUAUAAUUAAAAUUAGAUAGAAGCUUAUGCAUUUUCAAAUCAUUUAAGCUUUUUAUAGAGGAAGAAAAAUAAGUUAAAGAAGUUUGAAGAAACAAGUAAAAAUAAUUUAUUAACUUUAAAUGUACUUUUUAUUUUUCUUUAUCUUUUCUCUCCUUUUAUUUUUCCUCUCUAUUUUUUUCUUGCAUUUCUCCUCAAAUUUUUGAAGAAUCAAAUAUAAGGCUAAAGUUUUUAUGGUGGUGCUUGAUGUCGGCAAAAUCUAACACUAAAGCACAUGUAGGCAGGUUUUGGACGGCACACCGAUCCACCACAUCAUAUAUGCAUAUAUAUAUAUAUAUAUAUAUAUAUAUAUAUAUAUAUACAUACAGAAAUCAAUAGGAAUAUAUCAGGCAAAUAGAUUGAGAGAAAAAAAGAAAGGGCAGCUCCUUAAGGCAGCAAAGGGGAGAGAUUGGAUCCUAGAUGAUUAUCCACGACUCAACCGUAUCGAUUCACCAUGUCAUUUACAUUGUUAUGGGAAUCAACCUCCUAGAACAAUAGAAUCUCAUGUCUGUUCACAUUGCCACUUUCAUCAACAAUGUGGAAUCAACCAUGGACAACAAUAAAAUCUCAUGCCUACUUACCUUAGUGCCAUUUUUGCCCUUCUGACUAUCAUUGUUCCACUACUCAUCAACCUCACUGAUUUGAAGUUUCGGAAAGAGGCUGACUUUGUAUUUCAAGCUCACCCCAUAAACACCAAGGUGGCUGUUCUUAGCUUACUAGCAUUUGUCUUGGCAUUUGGAAUUGAGUUAACCUUCCAUACGUGUCAUAUCUCUCCUACUUGUGCUGCUCUCCUCCAUACUACCAUGGUGUUGUUCGGUUCCUUCUCAUUGGCUUCAUUGGCAUCACUCUUGUUUCCUGGUGCAGUAUGACCCUUUCUACUUGUCAUCUAUGCCUUCCUAGCACUUAGCAACAUGCAAAACCUAGUCCGGAAAUGGUGUCACUGGGUUCACCAUAGACUCAUUUACAACCUUGAGACUGUAUUAACAGGAUUUGGGCAAUUCCACACUUGGGGCCUUGAUUCUAAUGGAGAAAGCAACUCAAUCAGGAAAAGACGAAAGCAAAGUACAUUUUCUUUAGGACCAAUGGAACCUGUUUGUUCAUUACUGGAGGGGGGAGCCAGUAAUGCGACAUGAUGCCAGCCCAAGAAAGCACCAACUCAGCAUGAGGAACUGGGCUCUCAUACAGGUUUUCUUCUGAUAAGUAACCAAUCCGCUGUUAGAUAGAAGAGUCAUAAACAAGUUAAGGACAAGUUCAAAAUUUUUUAUUUAUUGGGAAACCAAACUCAGGGAACCUGCAACUAUAUGAAGUCAGUAACAUGUAUCCAUGAUGGUUAAGGGUAAAGUUGGAGGGCUUCUUCUCAUGUGCCAUUGUUGCAUUCCAGUGAGUACAGUCUGUUCGUGCCAUCCUAUGCAAGUUGUCAACAGAGAGAGCAUGACAUAGGUGACAUAUAGAAGGGGUCACCAUGCAUCUGAUGCAGGAAAACCAGUGAAAGGGAAUUAGAAAACACCUUGGGAGUGCAGAGGAGAGCAGCAGAAGAAGAAUGGGAAGUGAAGUCAAUUCCUAAUGCCAAGACAAAUGCUAGUAAGUUAGCAACAGCGACCUUGGUGGUUAUGGAGUGGGCUUGAAAUGCAGAGUUUGGCUUAUUCUGGAACACUCCAAAUCAAUGAGGUAGAGAAGCAGGGGAAGAAUAAAGGUUAGAAGGGCGAGAAUAAGGUUAUGUGAAGUAGAAAUGUGAUUGUGUUGUUGUUGGAGGUUGAUUCCAAAAAGUUGAAAUUAGCAUUGAGAAUAUACAUGGUUGUGUUAUGGAUACUCAAUUUAAAUCAAUUGUAAUAAGAAGGGACAAAACCAAUAGACGGUGAGGCCACUGAAUUUCAUGGGGUGUUAAUGUCUACUCAA